UGCAACAAGAGCUCCGAUCAGCUCGCAGA
rnacentral:sRNA from 1 species